AUAGCUACGGCGGUACGUAUUCUAAAAUUGAAAUGAUACAGAGAAGAUUAGCAUGGCCCCUGCGUAAGGAUGACACGCAAAUUCGUGAAGCAUUCCAUAUUUCU
rnacentral:snRNA from 1 species